CACGUAGGGAGCAAGCGUUGUCCGGAUUCAUUGGGCGUAAAGAGCUCGUAGGCGGCUCGGUAAGUCGGGUGUGAAACCUCUGGGCUCAACCCAGAGACGCCACCCGAUACUGCCGUGGCUAGAGUCCAGCAGGGGAGUGUGGAAUUCCCGGUGUAGCGGUGAAAUGCGCAGAUAUCGGGAGGAACACCAGCGGCGAAGGCGGCACUCUGGGCUGGAACUGACGCUGAGGAGCGAAAGCGUGGGUAGCAAACGAGG
rnacentral:rRNA from 1 species